rnacentral:snRNA from 1 species
GGGUGUGAGGGCAAUCUGGCUGAGACAUCUGUCAUCCCAUUACUCACCAGGGUUGAUUUGUGGCUAGCUGGGUGUCCCCUUUCUCCCUCACUGCUCCAUGUACAUCCCUCCUGAAUGCACACUCGGUUAGAGAAGAAGACCUUCACUGAAUAGAGACUGACCAGUCUUUGGUUGAGGGUAUAUGAGUAGCUGUGUUCCCCUGAUAGAACCUUCCAAAGAAGCUUUUGAGGUCCAAAUGGAUUGACCUAGUUGUCUCCAAAGUUCUUAUAGAUCUAAUAAGCCAAACUCCCUCCCCUUCAGUCCUGUU